rnacentral:rRNA from 1 species
AGGUUAAGCUAAUAAGAGCACACGGAGGAUGCCUAGGCGCCAGGAGCCGACGAAGGACGUGGCGAACAACGAAACUGCCUCGGGGAGC